UACGGGGGGGGCAAGCGUUGUUCGGAAUUACUGGGCGUAAAGGGCUUGUAGGUGGCCCCAUAAGUCAGACGUGAAAUCCCUUGGCUUAACCAAGGAACUGCGUCUGAGACUGCGGGGCUUGAAUCCGGGAGAGGGAUGCGGAAUUCCAGGUGUAGCGGUGAAAUGCGUAGAUAUCUGGAGGAACACCGGUGGCGAAGGCGGCAUCCUGGACCAAUUCUGACACUGAGGAGCGAAAGCCAGGGGAGCAAACGGG
rnacentral:rRNA from 1 species